CACUACCAACACAAAAAUAGAUUACCUUUACUGAACUAGGUCACUGAUCAUCUAUCGUGAAGAAGCUCAAAUAAACAUUUGCACAAAUUUGUAAGAAUCUGGUAAUAAACUGUGUUCCAGAUUAUGUACAUGUUCUACGCUCUGGGUCUUUAACAGCCGCCAUCAUUCAUGUUGCGUAUUGUAUUUGACGAUUAAGGGUGUGGAGAUUUUGUACUGUUGUUGCUUAAUAUUUUUUAACCAGCUUUGAAAGAUAUGCAGUAUUCAAAAGGUAGCAGUAAUUCUUCCCUCGAGCCACAUCAAGUCGAAUUAAUAAAACUUGCUGAUCUCGCUGGUGUAUCAGUGAAACCACAAAUUUUAAGUAUUCUGAUAGAAAUGCUGGGGAUGAAUAUUCAUCCAAAUUCUCUGCAUUCCUUACUAAAGGAAGUUUGCAGUCGCCGUGGGAUGACUAGAACAUCUCGUGCAAGUGCCAAAUCAAAAUCAAAUAGUCACAAAUCAGCACGAACCUCUGAAAAACUUACAGAUGUUAAAAGCAAGACUUGAUCUCUUCUGUUAGAAGGACUACAAACUUGACAGCCAUGCACAAAUAUGGACAGAGAUCUUGGAUUUAUUUAUUUAAAUACAAGGAAAAAUACAGAACAAAUAUCAGCUGAGUGUACCAAAUCACAUAGGAAGGACAGAUUACUCAAGUAUAUUUUAUUUAUAUCCAAAACUGAAUUUAAAUGUCAGUUAUAUAUAACAUUAUAUCCAAUGAGUUUAUCCUAAAUCAAGGCACCUUUAAUUAAAACAAAUUAUAAGUAUUGACAUUUUGUACUUGCACAAUUUUAGAAAAAGCAUGAAAUAGGGACCUAAUUGCGAAGUUGGACAACAAUAAAGUUAAGCAAGCUUCAUUUUCAA